rnacentral:tRNA from 1 species
CGAGGCCUGGUGGUUUAGUGGUAUAAUACUCGCUUCGGAUUUGCACCUCUGGAGCAAAAAUUCGCACCCCUCCCAAGGGGUGUUUUAUGCGAGUGGUCCCGGGUUCGAUUCCCGGCUAGGCCCC